rnacentral:sRNA from 1 species
AACAAACCGGUUAUAACAGUGAACACGGAAUACGUAACGCGUAAAGAGUUAAACGAGUACAAAGACUCAAACGACCAACGACUUACAAAGAUUGAAACCACUUUGGCCGCCCAAGGUGAGCAAAUCAACAAAUUAACUCAAACUGUUGAAAAACAGGGCGAACAAAUUAGAGAACUUCAAGUGGAGCAAAAAGCUCAGGGUGAGCAAAUUAAAGCUCAGGGAGAAACCUUAAAGCUAAUCUUGCAAACGCUGCAAAAAAUGAGUGAUCGCUUGGACAAAAUUGAUCCAUCUAAAUAGUUUUUAGGCUAAUAACAAAAGUGCCAGCAGUUAAUCUUAAAGAUUAGUU